UGGUCCCGCGAUCCUACUUGAGGGAAAACAGGCUAUCUCUUUAGCCCCGCCCCGCGCUUUGCAUUCUGGGAAGCGGAGUUCCAGCCUUUCUCUUUCCGCGGGAGGGAAUGAAAGGGAGGGUGAGAACCGUUAGUUAUUUCUUUCUUUGGUCGUGCCCCUAAUCAGGUCCAGGAUUCGAGUUUGUGUUCUUUCGUUUUAAUUCCUUUUAAAGCGCGUUCGUUUGCCUGAGAUCUAGCUUCUAGAUGGCGUUCCUAUAGCCUCCCGGAGCCCCAGCCAUCCUCCGUAGAAGGGUCCCUGCCGCAGUGCGGGGCCUGAGGGAAGUCGGCUCUGGCGUCCGUGCUCCAACGCUGGGAGCAGCCCUGAAACUCCAGUGACCCUCAGCCGUCUGCCUUUGUUUUGGGAUAAAUGAAUUCAAGCAUUCUUCAGUCAAUUCGAUUUAUCCAAGGGAUCAGGGACACAUUUUCUCUAUUGCUAGCACUGACGUGGGCCAUUAAAAACAAAAACAAAAACGAAAUUAAAAAGAAAACCCUUAGCUCUCUCUUCAAGUAAGUCUUAAGUGGCCAAAAUUGACCUUAUGGGCAAGUCCUGUAACGUGACAGCCAUUUUAGGACGCUUGUGACAUGCUGUUCAGGUUCUAGUCUGAAGUAGGAUUUUUCUCGCAUCUUGGUCACUGGUAGCACUUAAUGACUCCUCUGAGAGUGGUUUUGUCAUUUUUGCUGUUAGAGUUCACGAUAACUAAGAUCCUGGAGAAUUGAAUCCAUUUUCUCAGCUUAGAUAUAAAUCAAACCAUCCCUGUUGACAACACGUCAGCCUGCUGUGGGAAUACAUUGCUGGUUAUUUCUGACUUAUCAAUGUGAAUUUUGAUUAUGGAAGCUGAAUUCUGGUUGAUAGGGAUCCAUUGUAAUGUUCUCUCUACUUUUGCGCAUUUUUAAGUAUUUCAUAAUGCGAAAUAUAAAAAGUGUGUGUCUAUAGUGAGUGCUGUUCAAUAAGAUUCUUAUAAGGAGUGAAGAAUUCAAGCACUUAGUUCUUAAGUAUUACUUGUAAUGGGCAGUGGGCUGGAGGUGUUCCAGGCAGACGGAACUCAAUUACCAAGAGCACAGAAGCAAGAGAUCAUCUAUUCCAUAGAUUAGAAAGUGGUGGAUCAUAAAGCAUGAGGUAGAAUUCUGAGAGACAGAACUAGAGACUUAAACCAGAUUAAGAUUAGCCGUCUGUGACAAGCACUGGUCAUUGGGAUUCUCCCUGCCACUCACUCCUUUCUCCUUGCUAACAAGAUCCUGAUUUGUUCAAGAAGCAGGUGGUGGAUGUGCCCAAGACACAGGGAAGAAAAAGAAGUAAACAGGGAAGUACAACACAGACUCUGAAAUGGGGCAUCAUGGAAGACGGAGCUUUGUCGUCUUGGUCUUUGCUGUAUAUUCACUUCCUACAACAGUGCUAAAUACCUUGUGGAUGCUUAAAUAUAUUAAAUGAAUGCAUAAAUGAAAAGAGUAAAUAAAGAGUGUAUAUGAAAGUAUGUAGAUAAAAUUCUUCACUAAGCCUUGGGGAUCCAGCUGCUUAAGGACUAAGACCGUAUCUAGCUCCUUUUAGUAUUUCCACAGCAUGCCAUGGAGAUACAUGUUUCUGAUUAUAUAUGAUACAUGGAAAUUAUAUGUUGUUGAAUGAGUGAUUGAGUAAAUGUGUACUAGGGCAGCUAAUCAUAAAUAUUUCUACUAUUGCUAAAAUGACUGGAUUUAUCCAUUCCUUCUGAGAGUUUAUACUGAUUGCUUAUAUUGUAUCAAAUACCGUAACUGAGGGCAAUGUUUACUCAAACUAAUAGCACCAUUCAAAUUUAUGCAAACAAUAACACUAUAUCUUUAAAAUGUUUUCACUAAAAGCUGCAUAAAGAGUGUAUUCAACAACAAUAGAAUAAUUUUACAAUCUUUUUUCUUGCUUAAUGGCCAUUUGUGCCUUCUGACAUGCUGCUAGCCAUUCAAAGGUCACACUACCUUGAAGUUGAAGAUCAAGACAAAUGAUUAGACUCAUAAAAGACAAAUCACGUCUUUCUGGACAGGUGAUUAUUAAUAAUUAAUUAGCAUUUAAACAUGUAUUAUUUAAGUUCUUUUUAAGUUAUAAAGUCUUUGAUUUGCUAAACAGUUUAAAUAAUGAAUAAAACAUAAAAUAAUAAUAGUUACCAUUUAUUUAAUUCCAUAAUAACUGAUUUGUAUGUAUUAUAAGCUUUCUUUCUGAAAGCAGAGUUUGGAGGUGGGUUCAUAACUUUCUACAAACAGAAAACUGAGAUUUAGAGGGUUAGCUAGGGAAGAAUUUAAAAUUAGAUCCGUCUUAUUAAAAAAACAAUCUAUGUUCUUGUCUUAGUCAGCUUGGGCCUCCAUAACAAAAUACAAUGGACUGUUGGCUUCAAAAACUGAAACUUAUUUUCUCACAGUUUUGGUGGCUGGUGGGUCAGAGAUCAAGGUGUUGGCCAAAUGUGUUUUUUUUUUUUUUUUUGAGGAUUCUCUUCCUGGCUCACAAAUGGCUGCUUUCCUUGUCAUUGAUGACUUGAUACAGAGGGGGAGAGGGAGAGAGAGAGAGAGCAAAGUGUGUGUUUGUGUGUGUGUCUCUGUGUGUGUUUAUAUUAGAGAGAGAGAGAGACAGAGAUCUUACACUUUUUAUAAGGUCACAGUCUUGUGGUAUUAGUACCUCAUUUUUAUGACCUCAUUUAACCUUAAUUACCUCCUAGAGCCUUUAUCGCCAGAUACAGUCACAUUUCACAUCGAAGGUUUGGGCUUCGACAUAUAAAUUCUGUGGGAUACAAUUCAGUCCAUAGCAAUUCUGAAGCACUAUAAUAUACUCUUUUAAUUUUUAAAUAAAGAUGGAAUUAUUUAA
rnacentral:lncRNA from 1 species